rnacentral:rRNA from 1 species
CCUACGGGAGGCAGCAGUGAGGAAUAUUGGUCAAUGGGCGCGAGCCUGAACCAGCCAAGUCGCGUGAGGGAAGACGGUCCUAUGGAUUGUAAACCUCUUUUGUCGGGGAGCAAAAGACGCCACGCGUGGCGUUCCGAGAGUACCCGAAGAAAAAGCAUCGGCUAACUCCGUGCCAGCAGCCGCGGUAAUACGGGGGAUGCGAGCGUUAUCCGGAUUUGUUGGGUGAAACGGGUGCGUAGGCGGAAUAUCAAGUCAGCGGUAAAAAUUCGGGGCUCAACACCGUAGUGCCGUUGAAACUGAUGUUCUAGAGUGCGCGAGAAGUAAGCGGAAUGCGUGGUGUAGCGGUGAAAUGCAUAGAUAUCACGCAGAACACCGAUUGCGAAGGCAGCAUACCGGCGCCCAACUGACGCUGAAGCACGAAAGCGUGGGUAUCGAACAGGAUUAGAUACCCGAGUAGUC